GGAUUUUUGGGUCCCUCCCCUCAGGCCAGGCCAGUCCUGGGUGGAGCUUUCGGCCAUCUUGGCCUCGGGGGCGGAGCCGGAAGUGCUGGUGUCAAUCAAGGCUUUAUGCAAAUCCAGGGAGGCGGAGCUACAGUGGGCCCAUCCCCCCAGGGAGCCGCAGGAGGAGCUGGCUGAGGCUCACGAUUGGCUGGAGCAGGCUGAGGCUCUGCUGAUUGGCCACAGCCCCGAGGCCGUGCUGUGGGCGUUGGAGGCGCUGGCCAAUCAGAGCACGA